rnacentral:misc_RNA from 1 species
CACAAAUACUAGAGUUUGCGGCAACUUCGGAAACCUUACUCUGCUGCUGAGUUUCAAGAUGCAGUUGUUGCAUCCCUCCUUUAAUCCCACUCUUUUCCAGCUUCCCUUGUUUUCCAGGGAGAAAUGCCAAUGCUGCUGGGGGAGAACCAUAAAAAUCAUCUGAAAUUUGUUUAAACGGGAAAGGCAUACCAGAAGAGAAAGAACCGAGUUGGUCGACAGGCUGCAUGUAGAGAUGUUCUGUUGAAUUGGGAUCUUGAGGACAAUCAUUUACAUUAUCCAACUUUAUCCCAGGGAUUACAACAGGUUCAUAAAGCCCAUGUUGACACUGCUCCUGUAAAGCAU